rnacentral:rRNA from 1 species
CCUACGGGGGGCAGCAGUGAGGAAUAUUGGUCAAUGGGCGAGAGCCUGAACCAGCCAAGUCGCGUGAGGGAGUACUGCCCUAUGGGUUGUAAACCUCUUUUGUCGGGGAGCAAAAGCCGGACGUGUCCGGCUGUGAGAGUACCCGAAGAAAAAGCAUUGGCUAACUCCGUGCCAGCAGCCGCGGUAAUACGGAGGAUGCGAGCGUUAUCCGGAUUUAUUGGGUUUAAAGGGUGCUCAGGCGGAUUUUUAAGUCAGCGGUAAAAUCGUGGGGCUCAACCCCAUCCAGCCGUUGAAACUGGGGAUCUAGAGUGUGCAAGAGGUAUGCGGAAUGCGUGGUGUAGCGGUGAAAUGCAUAGAUAUCACGCAGAACCCCGAUUGCGAAGGCAGCAUACCGGUGCACAACUGACGCUCAGGCACGAAAGCGUGGGUAUCGAACAGGAUUAGAUACCCUGGUAGUC